rnacentral:rRNA from 1 species
AGCGAACGCUGGCGGCAGGCCUAACACAUGCAAGUCGAACGGACCCUUCGGGGUUAGUGGCGGACGGGUGAGUAACACGUGGGAACGUGCCUUUAGGUUCGGAAUAGCUCCUGGAAACGGGUGGUAAUGCCGAAUGUGCCCUUCGGGGGAAAGAUUUAUCGCCUUUAGAGCGGCCCGCGUCUGAUUAGCUAGUUGGUGAGGUAAUGGCCCACCAAGGCGACGAUCAGUAGCUGGUCUGAGAGGAUGACCAGCCACAUUGGGACUGAGACACGGCCCAAACUCCUACGGGAGGCAGCAGUGGGGAAUCUUGCGCAAUGGGCGAAAGCCUGACGCAGCCAUGCCGCGUGGAUGAUGAAGGCCUUAGGAUUGUAAAAUCCUUUCACCGGUGAAGAUAAUGACUGUAGCCGGAGAAGAAGCCUCGGCUAACUUCGUGCCAGCCGCCGCGGUAAAAC